CCCAAAUGAACAAACAGAGGAAGGAACUAAAUCCAGUGUUAGGAAAGUUCACUUUCUACAUGAACUAGUUCAAAGUUCAGUUCACAAAUUUUAAAAUGAACUAGUUCAGGUCAUGGUUCAUACUUCAACAUUUUUAAACUAAGUUCACAGUUCCAAAAAUGAACUAGUUCCUAGUUCUUUUUUUCCAUAUGUUGCUGUGAGCUAUUAUUUUUUUCAAAAUUAUUGCCACAGCCCAUAUAGAACCCCAGACAGCAGAUAUUUGAUCAGUUUUAACACUGAAACUAUGCGUCAGAUUUCACCUGCUAGCCAGGUGCUUCAGUUCGGCGUGCCGUUUCAAGUUUGCUGUGGAUGUGGCUGAAGUAUGGAUUUUCUUUUUGAAAGCCGGCGGGCAAAGUUUGCACAGAAAUGUACAAUUUUUUCCCAUGCUCGCCGACAAAACCGUCAUAAAACUCAUUUAAAUAAUCAUACAACGCCUCCUUGUUGCUUUGUCGCCUCCAUGCUGCUUUUUGUUUCGAUGACACAUGCGGCAGUGCGACACUGGUGGCUGGCGUUGCCAGAUUGGGUGUUUUUUGCGCUACAUAUUAAGGUGUGUUUUAGCCGGGGGUUUGCCUGUAAGGCUCGGUAGAAGUCCGGCACCCUAUUGAACUAAGUUAAACGGAGAGAGCGUGCCGUUCACAGACACCAGAAUGAACGCGUUCACAGUAACGUUCAUCAGGCAGUAACACAGUAUGUUCAGUUCACGUUCGC